rnacentral:pre_miRNA from 1 species
GAGGCAUGUUUCGGGUUUGUGCGUGAAUUUAAUAAAAUAACCGCUUCUUUUAAUCUCGUUCCCCCAUUUUUUGUUAGUAACAAAUUUUUGCCGUCAGUGUUAGAUUCACGCACAAACUCGUGACGUGUCU